UGGGGAAUAUUGCACAAUGGGGGAAACCCUGAUGCAGCGACGCCGCGUGGAGGAAGAAGGUCUUCGGAUUGUAAACUCCUGUUGUUGAGGAAAAGAGGAUGGUACUCAACAAGGAAGUGACGGCUAACUACGUGCCAGCAGCCGCGGUAAAACGUAGGUCACGAGCGUCGUCCGGAAUUACUGGGUGUAAAGGGAGCGGCAGGCGGGUAUGCAAGUUGGGAGUGAAAUACAUGGGCUCAACCCAUGAACUGCUCUCAAAACUGUGUAUCUUGAGUAGUGCAGAGUAGCGAAUUCCGGUGUAGCGUGGAAUGCGUAGAUAUCGGGAGAACACCAGUGGCGAAGGCGGCCUACUGGGGCACCAACUGACGCUGAGGCUCGAAAGUGUGGGUAGC
rnacentral:rRNA from 1 species